AAUCAACGCUGGCGGCGUGCCUAACACAUGCAAGUCGAACGCGAAAGCCCUUUCGAGGGUGAGUAGAGUGGCGUCCGGGUGAGUAACACGUAGGUAAUCUACCUCCGGGUGGGGAAUAACGUCUCGAAAGAGACGCUAAUACCGCAUAAUGCAGCGGCACCUAAUGGUGAUUAGUUGUUAAAGCGGGGGACCCUUCGGGGCCUCGUGCCUGGAGAGGAGCCUGCGGCAGAUAGCUAGUUGGUGAGGUAAUGGCUCACCAAGGCUUCGAUCUGUAGCUGGUCUGAGAGGACGGCCAGCCACACUGGCACUGACACACGGGCCAGACUCCUACGGGAGGCAGCAGUGGGGAAUUUUGGGCAAUGGGCGAAAGCCUGACCCAGCAACGCCGCGUGAGGGAGGAAAUCCUUCGGGAUGUAAACCUCACAAGCAAGGGAAGAGCGCAGAAGGGCGAAUAUCCCUUCUGCUCGACGGUACC
rnacentral:rRNA from 1 species